ensembl:lncRNA
CUCCAGCAAGCAGACCCUCAACGACUGCAUCCAGCGAUCUCUGGCCUGGAAGGAGCUUUUCCUGCAUGCCUCACAGCUGCACCACGAGUAUUCUUGUAAAGGCUAGGUCCUAGACCAGACCAGCAUCUUUUCUCUGGUCAAUGCAAAGACCUGCUAGAGGUGAGGUCUAGUCCAGUACCAUACCACCUCAACCACACCCUUAACCCUCUCCAAUUGGCAUACAACCCCCAACAGUCCGCCAUAUCCCACCUGGACAAGAGGAAUAUCUCUGAGAGAAUGCUGUUCAUCGACUACAGCUCAGCUUUUAACACCAUAGUGCCCUCCAAACUCGUCACUACCCUGUGCAAUUGGCUCCAGGACUUCCUGACGGGCCGACCCUAGGUGGUGAGGGUAGGCAACAACCCCUACGCCACACUGAUCCUCAACACAGGGGCCCCUUAAAGGUGUGUGAGUGCCAGCAGCCGUUUGCCAGGCGGGAGGAGGGUGAGCAGAUGCACCUAGGGCUCCGGGGGGCGGAGGUUACUCGCGGCCUGCUGGAGAUGGAGGCCACCUUCGGACGCAGCCUGCAGAUCCUCCAACACGUUCACAAGGGCAUCCUGAAGAAUAACUCCUGUUAUGAUGACUACAGCAGGAUCCGGAGGAGAACCUGAUCAGCACAGCGGUUGAGACAGUCAUCACCGUGGUGGAGGACUUUCAGCUGCUAGAUGUCUUCAAGCACCUUUCUGCCCGCAAGAAAAAAGGGUUCCAAAAGGGUUCUUCUGCUGUCCCUAUAGGAGAAUCCUUUUUGGUUCAAGGUAGAACGUCUUUUGGUUUCAGGUAGAAAGCUUUUGGGUUUCAUGUAGGGUUCUACCUGGAACCAAAAAGGGUUCUAUGGGCACAGACGAAGAACCAUCUCUCCCCUCUCCCUCCAUCUUGAG